rnacentral:misc_RNA from 1 species
GAUGAAGAACGUAGCGAAAUGCGAUAAGUAAUGUGAAUUGCAGAAUUCAGUGAUUCAUCGAAUCUUUGAACGCACCUUGCGCCCCUUGGUUAUUCCAAAGGGCAUGCCUGUUUGAGUAUCAUGAACACCUCAACUCUUGUGGUUUCCCACAAUGAGCUUGGACUGUGGAGGUUUUGUUGGCCCUGUGGUCAGCUCCUCUCAAAUGGAUCAGCUUACCGGUGUUUGGUGGCAUUACGGGUGUGAUAACUAUCUACGCUCGUGGUCGUCUCCAAAUAACCUCCAGUGAUGGAGGUUCGCUGGAGCUUAUAAAUGUCUCUCCCCAGUAAAGACAGCCUUUGAACGUUCGAUCUCAAAACAGGUAGGACUACCCGCUGAACUUAAGCAUAUCAAUAAGCGGAGGA